rnacentral:rRNA from 1 species
CUACAUGGGGCGAGCCUGAUCCAGCAAUGCCGCGUGUGUGAAGAAGGCCUUCGGGUUGUAAAGCACUUUUGUCCGGAAAGAAAUCCUCUGGGUUAAUACCUCGGGGGGAUGACGGUACCGGAAGAAUAAGCACCGGCUAACUACGUGCCAGCAGCCGCGGUAAUAAUUAGGGUGCGAGCGUUAAUCGGAAUUACUGGGCGUAAAGCGUGCGCAGGCGGUUUUG